rnacentral:rRNA from 1 species
GCACGGGUGAGUAACACGUGAAUCAUCUACCUCCGAAUGGGGAAUAACUGAGAGAAAUCUUAGCUAAUACCGCAUAAUACCUACGGGUCAAAGCAGCAAUGCGUUUGGAGAGGAGUUCGCGGUCGAUUAGUUAGUUGGCAGGGUAAAAGCCUACCAAGACUGUGAUCGAUAGCCGGCCUGAGAGGGCACACGGCCACACUGGCACUGAAACACGGGCCAGACUCCUACGGGAGGCAGCAGUGGGGAAUCUUGCACAAUGGAGGAAACUCUGAUGCAGCGACGCCGCGUGAGCGAUGACGCCCUUCGGGGUGUAAAGCUCUUUCGGCAGGGAAGAUAAUGACGGUACCUGCAGAAGCAGCUGCGGCUAACUACGUGCCAGCAGCCGCGGUAAUACGUAGGCAGCAAGCGUUGUUCGGAGUUACUGGGCGUAAAGGGUGCGUAGGCGGCUUUUUAAGUUUGGUGUGAAAUCUCCCGGCUCAACUGGGAGGGUGCGCCGAAUACUGAGAGGCUAGAGUGUCGGAGAGGUAAGUGGAAUUCCUGGUGUAGCGGUGAAAUGCGUAGAUUCAGGAGGAACACCGGUGGUG